UGAGGGCAAGUCUGGUGCCAGCAGCCGCGGUAAUUCCAGCUCCAAUAGCGUAUAUUAAAGUUGUUGCAGUUAAAAAGCUCGUAGUUGAACCUUGGGUCAGGGAUGAACGGUCCGCCUCACCGCGUGCACUGCCAAUCCGGACCUUUCCUUCUGGCAAACCUCAUGCCCUUUACUGGGUGUGCUGUGUGAACCAGAACUUUUACUUUGAAAAAAUUAGAGUGUUCAAAGCAGGCAUUUGCUCGAAUACAUUAGCAUGGAAUAAUAGAAUAGGACGCGCGGUUCUAUUUUGUUGGUUUCUAGGACCGCCGUAAUGAUUAAUAGGGACAGUCGGGGGCAUCAGUAUUCAAUUGUCAGAGGUGAAAUUCUUGGAUUUAUUGAAGACUAACUACUGCGAAAGCAUUUGCCAAGGAUGUUUUCAUUAAUCAGGAACGAAAGUUAGGGGAUCGAAGACGAUCAGAUACCGUCGUAGUCUUAACCAUAAACUAUGCCGACUAGGGAUCGGACGAUGUUAUUUUUUGACUCGUUCGGCGCCUUACGGGAAAC
rnacentral:rRNA from 1 species